rnacentral:lncRNA from 1 species
UUUCAUUAUAACUCCACCUUGAAGAUCACUUAAAACUGAGCCAAAUAUAUGCAAAAGAAAUUGAAAGAUCAUAAGAAUCGAUAUGGAUGUGAAGAUACCAUAUUGCCAACUAUUUAACACCAAAAUGAUCAAAAUCUAAGAGGGAAAAUAAUUAAAUUAAAUAACUUAAAUUAAUUUUUUUUAUUCAUUGAAUCAAGUCAUAUAUGGAAAAAAAAAAUUAAUAUAGACAAAAUUUCUUUUUCUUGCACGUUAAAUUUUUGUUAAUAUUAAUAUCAUAAUUGAUUUUCAACGCCAAUAUAAAGAACUAGUUGUAGCCUUGUAGGUGAAAUGGGGACAGCUUUUGAUUCCCCAAAAAAUAAUUCAUAUACUAAUAUUUAAGUUAGAAAAUCUAUGUAGAAUGAAUGAUUAGAGAGAAUCAUCACAAAAGGUUUAAUGAUAUAUAGUAAAAAAAAAACAAAAACAAAGAAUUGUGCUAUAAAAAAAAAUAUUGAAAAAGUGCACCUUAUUUUAUUAUGACUUUGUUCAUGCUACAAAGAAAGACUUAUAACAAAAACAAAAAUAUGAGAAUGGUUUAUAUAUAGAAGUGAAUGAAAUGCAGCUAGGAAGUUAUUAAAACGUGGGUCAAGAACAUUGCUAAAAUAGUGUUAUGCGUGAAGGUUUUGAGAAGGAAGAGAAAUAACUACUACUAUUAGUGUUGCUAAAAAGAAAAAAAAUGAUAAGUAAAAAUAAACAAGUGGGAGAAAAAAGCACUUACAAAAAUUGAGCAAAAAUAGGAGAGUAACGUAAGAAAUGAUUUAUAUGGUGAAAGAAAAGACAAGGGUAUUUUUGAUCCAAGCUUCGAUGAAUUUUUGUUAUGGAAGAAGGGAACAAAGGUGUAAGAUAAAAAGGUUAUAGUGUUUGUGAAAGAUUGAAGAUGUUUUUGAGUUUCUGAAGUUUCUUGGAAAAGAAAAAAGGUUAUGAGAUUUGAGAAUAAGGGGGGAUGGUGUUCUUACCUUAAUUUUUCUUUUAUAUAGGAG